CCUUGGCGACGACGAAGAAGCCAUGAUCACGAUGGCCAUGAUAGUUGGGAGGCAGAGAUGAGAGGAAUCGGCGGUGAUUCUUUUCAGGCAAGGAUGCGACAGUAGAGAGAAAUCGCUGAGGAUAUGACGGAUAAACAUUUGCCUUCAGGUUCGUUUGAAAAAGGAUGGUGGAUGUUUCCACUUCAUGACAUUCCCCCUUCUUUUUCACGAGUAUGGAGAUUAAAGAGGGCAACGAAUCUACGAGAUAAUAGCGAUUGUACAUUUAUAUUAUUCAGUGUUGUGGCUACCAACUCUCUCUAGGUUUUCCAUCCUUGAACAUGU